GACGUAGGAGGCGAGCGUUGUCCGGAUUCAUUGGGCGUAAAGAGCACGCAGGCGGUUUGGCAAGUCGGAUGUGAAAACCCGAAGCUCAACUUCGGGCUUGCAUCCGAAACUGCCCGACUAGAGGUAGGUAGGGGAGAUCGGAAUUCCUGGUGUAGCGGUGAAAUGCGCAGAUAUCAGGAGGAACACCGGUGGCGAAGGCGGAUCUCUGGGCCUUACCUGACGCUCAGGUGCGAAAGCUAGGGGAGCGAACAGG
rnacentral:rRNA from 1 species